UGGCGGCGUGCUUAACACAUGCAAGUCGAGCGAGGAACUUCGGUUCCUAGCGGCGAACGGGUGAGUAACACGUGGGCAACCUGCCCCGAGCUCUGGGAUAACUUCGGGAAACCGGGGCUAAUACCGGAUAUGACACUACUGGACAUCUGGUGGUGUGGAAAGAUUUAUCGGCUUGGGAUGGGCCCGCGGCCUAUCAGCUUGUUGGUGGGGUAACGGCCUACCAAGGCGACGACGGGUAGCCGGCCUGAGAGGGCGAUCGGCCACACUGGGACUGAGACACGGCCCAGACUCCUACGGGAGGCAGCAGUGGGGAAUAUUGCGCAAUGGGCGGAAGCCUGACGCAGCGACGCCGCGUGGGGGAUGAAGGCC
rnacentral:rRNA from 1 species